AUUAUCCCAACACCUAUCCUCGCCUACAGAGAAUGACCAGUGCUGGAACUUACCAGAAGUUAAAGAAUCCAUCCCAUCCUACAGGAAUAUUGUCAGCUGGGAGGAAGCAAAGAUGGAAACCUGCAUGAAAGGGUGCUAAAAUGGAGCAGGACACGUGGACUCUGGAGCAGCUGAAACAAAUGCUGGAAAGCUGGAACAGAGUGGGCAUGGCAGGGGCGCUUGGCUGAGCCCAGAUGAGCCAAAACAACCAGCAAGGAAGGCAGUAGACCAUCCAGGGAGUUUUGUUUUAUAUUGGAGUCUGUGCCUCAGGAAACCAUUGCUGUGGGUCAGUUGUCACCCACUUGCAUAAUUAGAGUGUUGAAGACAUAAAAUUUUCAAAGAACAGUCCUUCAAAGCAAAAUCCAUUGUUACCUUGGACAUGAUGACCCAUUCUGAAAGAAGUGCAGUCUCAACAUCAGGUCAAUCCUCUUCAAAGGUGCUACUGAAGAGGUAAGUAGCAGCCCAGAAAAAAGCCUCAAGGCAAGGCUGGUUCCACAUUAGGACUGGCAUUUAAAAUCAGGUAGGGUAACAUCUCCUACCUGAGGUGACACCUGUGACACGCCUUUUAACACUUCUCAUGACUCCCAUUCAGAAAGCUGCUUUGGAAGGACUUUUCUCCCUCUCUUUAGGCUAGCUGCAGAAGGAGCAAGCUUUCAACUUCUAUCCAGCUUCAUCCCACCAAAGGUAACAGAGGUGGGUAAUGGAACAAAUAAUUACUGUACAAUUCACACUAUAAAAGUCAGGGUACCAUUAAUUUGACAGAAACUUUUGCAAAUCCAUCAUGAACACUGUGAUCAACUUUAUAGGGGAGUAUUGAAUCCACAUAUAAUGCAGCUACAUAGAUCUGUACGUAAUCAGAUUCUUAAAGGUUGCAGUUGGAGAAUUGUGAAUGUGCAGUGGUAGCGGUAACACACGAGCGUAUUUUCCAAGGGAAGAGGAUGGGAACCAUUAUAAAUAAACUGCUGAGCUACGUUCAUGCAGAAACACUAGUGUUUGCAGAUGGAUUUCACGUGGAAGGCGGACAGUUACAGUUUGAAGCCUCGCUGAUGCAAGGAGAUGUCAACUGAGGAACCAAGGCAGUUUCUAGCAGCUAUGAAGUAAUGUAAAACUAGAGAUAAUGCUGGUUUUCCUGUGCUUCCUUCAUCAGGGCAAAACACACCCCACCCCACAUUUUUUCACAUCUGUGCUGCCUCCGCAACUCAUCUCUUUGCUGCUUGUUCUCCCUUGGGUUAACAGCAAGAAGCAAUAGAGGUGAAUGGUCCAUGGAGGAAGAUGUGACAUGGAUGAGCAAUCUGAACAGGAAUCACAGCAUUUUUCCUAUACAUAUGCAAGUUACAUAUGAACUUACAAAUAUAAGGCUGUCAGUUGUCUUCUGUGUGGUACUGGAUGCAAGGAAAGGAACCAGCUACCUCCGAACAUUGGAGAGCUGGGUGCCUUGAAAGAAGAGGACAGGAGGCGGAGAUGUGCACACUUACUACCCCUAUUGCCUGUACAUAUGAUUUCAGUCAAAAAAAAAAACCAAACCCGAACUGAAAGAAUUUGGAUUUGUAAGGUAAAAGGCCAAGUGAAACGGCUCUGACAGCAAAUAUGUGGGAAAAGGAGAUUUGCCGUGUGAAAGAGGAAGUCUUUAAUUCUUGACAAGGGGGAGGGGAACAAGAAAUCUUGAGAGUUUUCAGUCCACAAGGAUUAGCUUGUAACUAUUUUAUGGUCUGUCAGUUUCUCAGAACUGGAGUGUGUUUCCACAGCAGAGAAAGAAAAAAACAAAUUGCUAUUUGUAAUACAUCAAUUAUUGUGAUAAAUCAGUUAUUUUUAUUUUAGGAUAUGACUGUAAGUAAAAUGAUUUUUCAUGUUGCAGGUAUUUAAUGUUAUUGUGAUUAAAAUUAUAAUUAAGUUACAUUUAUUAACAGAAUAAACCACUUUGAGUUUAUUAUGGCAUUCCAUUUGCCAUGUUUAGGUGAUUUAAUUACCUUAAAAGAGUAUUGAAGGAGAGCAUUUGGGAGUUUUUUCCCAAGGUAACUUUGCAAAUUAUGAUCUUAAUUUUGUUUCUGCCAUGUAGGUAAAGGAAAGAGCUUCUUCUUCAUUACAAUAACCUUGGAUUUUUGCAGUCAAGUUUCCUAACACCUUUUCUCUUUGACUUGCGUGAACUUCCCUGGACUGAUUUCCAUAUAAUAACAUUAGUAACGUAAAAACAUUUGUAAAUGUUUAAAGGGCUGAACCUAAUCAAUCGAACAAGCGAAAAAUGUGAAGAAAUAGAAUACUUGGAAAUUCACUAAUUAAUUGCAGUCAAAGUAUCAUGAUAGAAAUUACUAUUACGUUCAGAGUAUUUCCAAAAGGUUUGAGGAGCUUUAACACACCCGCAUGCACACACACACACUAUGCUCAUCGCUGAGGCAAGGGAACAGCGAUCUGUCCUUUUUCUCUGGUGUGAAAGCAGGAGAGGCGGGUGGGUACAGCAGUAAACACCUUUCUGACGUGCCAUGGGAAGGCAGGUGAUGCAGCAGUGGGAAACGUUUACCUUCUCCAGCUCCGUAAAGGAGGAUGGGGCAGUCUAUGUUGUCUGCACAAUGUGAAGGUCUUAAGCCUGUCUCUCUCCGAAAUGCAGCGCGGGAGGGGAAGGCUUUUGUUUCCUGCCUAGUGUACAGAAGCGAGGGAGGUCAGAUUCUCCCACUUCCCAGCCUGCCAACCAGCCACAAAGCAGAGCCCCACGGGAAGCUGGUCUGACACAUUGUGCUGUUAGCAGGAUUGCGAGGCAGCCCAUCUGCUGCCACUGUCCCGUUGGUGCUGUUGUACGGAAGAGCUGCCAGAGAAGGCACCUCGCUUCUGGGCUGUUUAUUGAGUCCUUGGGAAUAGGAAGCAUAGUGUGUUCAGAGGGGCUGGAGUAGACUGUGGGAAUGGGAAACCUGAUGGAUUUGGGGGCAGGGAGAAUGUGAAGCUGCUGGAUUUUCUGGGAAAGUGUGCAUGAAAUCAAUGGGCUGUUGAGGGGGGGAAGAAGGAAGAAUUUGUAAUUCAUAUAUUUGUUCUCUGAUAGGGAAAUAUAAUACUGGUGGGUUUGCUUUUGAGAGAAAAAAAAUACUAUUUGAGAAGAAGGUUACUUGCAUGACUAGAAAAUGAUUGAGGGAACCCCGUUUAAAAGAACUGGAUGCCUAAGUCUGAAUUAAUGAACUAGGAACUGCUGUUGAAACAAUGCAAGGAAUUUCCGAAGGAAAGACAGAAGGGACCUUGGAAAAGCAAGAAGGUAGGAAAAAUUAUCAAUUUAAUGAUCAAGUUCAAAACAGAUCAGAGAUACUUUUGCUAGUUUAUUUUCUCUCUGUGUGUGUUUAUACAAAUCUUUUUCCUCAGAAAUAAAUGUUUAAGUGGAAAUACAUGUAAUUAUGACCCUGUCAGUACUUUGGUUUGGAAGGAAAGGAGGACAGGAUUUUGUUUACUUUCUGAAAAAGAAAACACACCAGAACUGAACGUUGACAAGCAGGCUAUUGCUUCACUUUUCAGCUACGUGACCAUAGAAAACAUCUAGGCUGAGAUCUCAUAAGUUUUCAUUGUGUUUUCCACAGUUUUUCCACAGUUUGCUUUUGACACCUGAGAAUUCCCAAUGCCUCUAAAUGAAGAGAGGAAAGUAACAGAAAUGUAUAAAUUAUUUAAAAUGUAAAACCUAAAAGCUCUGCCCAGCUCAAAUUCUAAUGUGUCUGUCCUUAUGCAUUAUUAUUACUGGUAUUUAAAUGGUAAUGUCACUAUAAUGUCUUUGCUGUUGCUGCAGAGUGAAUUAGGAGGGGGGAUUUCACUGAUGCCAGCUGCAAUUAAGCAUGAAAUUUCAGUUUUCAUUUUACCCAUUGCCCCAGUGCUCGUACAACUUUUACCCAAACUCUCUCUGGCCAACAGGAACCUUUUUCUCGGUUUCAUUUCACACCCAGAUCCUCCAAAAGUUUCUUUUAUAGCAAGACCAUCUUUUUGGUCCCAUUUAUUUCUAGGAAGCCUGAACAAAGCAGUUUGGAUUUUGUAGGAAGGCAUGUGGUAGUGCACAGACAGCAGCAGGCUUUAGCUUGAUUUCCUAUGGAAAUAUGACUCAUGUUAACAACUAGGCUUGAUGUCUGUUACUGUCCUCUUUAUUCAUAACCUUGAUAACCUUUUUCAAUUUCAGCUAGACCUGACAGAUUGCUUCAGUUUUCAGAGACACUAGAAAGCAAAUUUCAAUAAAUUGGUAGUUGGGACAGAAGGUCCAAACCAUUUUUUAGUGAGAGAAAAAUUGGACAGAAUCUUAAAUGUAAUACCAGAAACCAGAGUGGCAACAGAGCGGCAAGCCAAUGUUAGUGCUCUAGUCAGGAAACAAAUUUUGGCCAGAAUUUGUUAUUCAGAGGAGAGUUCAACCACAAAACCUGGAGCUCCAGGGCAUCAGAUUUCAGGCACUCUGCUGAUCAUGGAACAAUUCAUGUUCCUAGGAAAGAAGAUGGCUUGUGACUGAAGUAUUUCUUUGUAGAUACAGACUUUUUCACAUGCUUUCAUUUGAAGAGAAUGAAAUCUUCUACUCUAAAAACUUAACAGAAAUUGAAGAAAACUGUGUUCUUUCUCUGAAUUUUGGAGACAACACGGGAAAUCCCACUCACCCAUUCACCUUUCUCUGAAGUCCAUCUACUCAUUCAUUUGCUUGAUGAUCAUACUUUUUUCUUUUUAUUUAUGAAUGAUAAAUAAGAAGUUAUUGAUUCCUUUUCAUAGGUGGCCAGAAUGGAGUAAUUUGUACCAGAGGUCAUUUUACUGUCAUCAUUUAUAAUAAGAGAUUAGAGACUGUAUUAGUCAUAAUUGUGGAGUAGUGAAACUGCAUCUAAUCUUAUAUACGGCAACAUUUUUUUCCCCUGUGUUUCUAUCAUUAUAAACCUACGUACAAUUCCUCUUCUGGAUUGAAGCAUCUCAUCUUUUGAACUCAGAAAGUGCUCCUUUUUUUAAUAAAAGAAUUCAAAGAAAUUCCCUGGUGUGAAGAAAAAUAUGAGGAAAGACAAGUGCUGUACUUUGCUAGAAACAGUCAUGGGGACAAAUACAAGGUGGGGAACAAUUGAGUAGGUGGCAGAUCUGCAAAAGGCAAUUUGCAUGUGAGUCAGCAGAUUUAUCCUGCUGCUAAAAAGGAAUCCUCAUACAGGCUAUAUAAAUAGGGGGAUGCUGUAUAAGGUAUGGAGAGUAAUACCUCUUCACCAUAUGAAUAAAGCCUCAUCUGGGAUACUGUGUCCAGCUAAGGGCGGAUAACAGUUCGAGAAAUGUCUGUACCAACUGGCAAGAAUCCAGAGGUGAAUGAACAACAAGAACUAAUAGAGGUUCAGAAAACACAACUUGUGAGAAAAGACCGAAAGAGUUGGGUUUGUUUAGUCUAGGGGAGGGAAGAAUGUGGAGAGACAUGAUAAUAGCCACUAUGAACAGGACAAGACAUGAUGUGUUUGAAUUGCUUCAACAGAAUAAGGUUGGGCAUCAGCAAAAAAAGCUUUUUAAUGGUAAGAUAGUGAAGUGGUGGAUUAGCUUGCUUCAGGAAGCUGUGGAGUCUUUCACUAGAUAUUUAAAGAACAAUUUAGAUAAACAUUUGCCAGGUGAGUUAUGAGACUGAAGUUUGCUUAUAUGUAACCCUGCCUGGGGUAGGAGAAUGGACUGGAUGGCCUCUUAAAGUUUAUGGCAGCCUAGUUUUAUCUCAAUUACACUAAAGAGCAAGUGAUUUUUUUACCAUUGUUUAAAAUCACAAUUUUCAAUCUUUUAAAAUACAUUUAAAGUGAAUGCGGCCUAAUCUGUUUCCUCACAGUAUUCCCACUUAUAUGCACAUCAGUGCAUGCAAACUAUUAUUUUGACUGAUUAUUAUCCUGACUAUUCAUUAUUCUGAACAUUUUAUGUCCAGAAACAAGUGACUUCAAAGGUUAUAUUAGAUUUAGACUUCUCCUUUCAUAGUAACUUUAAACUGUGCAAUAUAUAUUUUUAAAUAUGUAUACAUUAGUAUUUUAAAGAUUGAACGAUUCUGUUAAUAACUGUCUUAGUAAGCUUUAAAGUCUGAUACAUUUUCACUCAAGAUAGCAACUACUGGGGUAUAUAUGUUCUAGCAUGAAGAAAAUGUAGUAUUCUGUUACUGGUUUUCACUCUUUUUAGCUGUGCAAAAUAGAUACAGAUAAAAGGUAGCUGAAUUGGACUUUGGCUGAAAUAUCCUUUCCCUCAUAUCAGUUUUAAAUUUACUGAUGUUUAAUUCUACUGCUUUCCCUCUGUCUUUGAAUUGUACAUCAAAAUAAACAAAACUGCAUGGUUUGCAUUCCUUAUGCCAGUCUUUUCUAGUGCAUCCCUUCUCAUUCACCUCGCUAAAAUCCACAGACCUACUGUUUCCAGUCUGUCUUGCAGAUGUCUCUUUCUCCCUGCAAGCAUCACAACAGGGUGUUGCCUGGGUGCCUUCCAAGCAAUAGUACGUCACAUGCAGUGAGAGGAGGAGAGACAGCUGAGAACAGCAUCUUUGGAUCAGUAGCAGAAUGGCAGAUGGCUUUAAUUUGAUUUUCUUGACCAUUUUACUUAAACAAGUACAAAGGCAUUACAUAGAAGAAGGUUAUGUGGCAUGUUCUGGUAUCUUAAAUGAGACAGCAACUACUAACAGUGAUGGAAAAGUUUUGCAAGAGCCUUUCAGGAGGAUGAUACAGAAUAACCUGCUUCAAACACUAGAUUUCACCUUCGUUGCUAACAAUCAGAAAUUGAAAUGAAAAACUUGAAGAACACAACUUAAUAGUAGGAAUGUUGUAACUAAUAUCCUGGGAAGAAAGAAAAGCAAGUGUAACAGUGAAAUGUAGUACAUUCUUAGUCCCGCAGGCAUAGUUGGAAAAGAGAAACAAGCCACUGGAGAAAUAAAAAAUCAUACAAGAAGUUCAGUUAAAGUGUGAAACUUGAAGCUAAAUAUAGAUUUUUAAAGAUCUUAAAUUGUGGAUAUUUCUCUCAAUACGCCACAUUAAUUUAUUCCAUUUGGACUGACAAUUUAGUUGAAUCAAGAUGAAAAAGAGUUGUUAAUUUUUUUGGAGGAGAGGGUUAUUUUGCUAUGCACGUGACACAGAUCAGCAGGUGGGUGACAAGAUUGUAAUGAGCUAUAAACCCAGUAUCUGUAUCAGGCCAUUGUGUUUUAAUAUCUAAUAGAGUAACAAAUGUCUGUUUUCCAGAUGCAUAUUUUAAAGAUGUACUUCCCUGCAAAAUCAACUCAGAAAUACAACUAAUUU